UCUCUGCUCGACUAGCGGCUAGGUCGUUUCCCUUUCAAGGAAAAGAGACGGGUUCGAUUCCCGUGCAGAGAACCA
rnacentral:tRNA from 1 species